AUAUUGGUCAAUGGACGAGAGUCUGAACCAGCCAAGUCGCGUGAGGGAAGACUGCCCUAUGGGUUGUAAACCUCUUUUAUAAGGGAAGAAUAAGUUCUACGUGUAGAAUGAUGCCUGUACCUUAUGAAUAAGCAUCGGCUAACUCCGUGCCAGCAGCCGCGGUAAUACGGAGGAUGCGAGCGUUAUCCGGAUUUAUUGGGUUUAAAGGGUGCGUAGGCGGUUUAUUAAGUUAGUGGUUAAAUAUUUGAGCUAAACUCAAUUGUGCCAUUAAUACUGGUAAACUGGAGUACAGACGAGGUAGGCGGAAUAAGUUAAGUAGCGGUGAAAUGCAUAGAUAUAACUUAGAACUCCGAUAGCGAAGGCAGCUUACCAGACUGUAACUGACGCUGAUGCACGAGAGCGUGGGUAGCGAACAGGAUUAGAUACCCUGGUAGUCCACGCCGUAAACGAUGCUCACUGGUUCUGUGCGAUAUAUUGUACGGGAUUAAGCGAAAGUAUUAAGUGAGCCACCUGGGGAGUACGUCGGCAACGAUGAAACUCAAAGGAAUUGACGGGGGCCCGCACAAGCGGAGGAACAUGUGGUUUAAUUCGAUGAUACGCGAGGAACCUUACCUGGGUUUAAAUGGGAAAUGCCGUAUUUGGAAACAGAUAUUCUCUUCGGAGCGUUUUUCAAGGUGCUGCAUGGUUGUCGUCAGCUCGUGCCGUGAGGUGUCGGGUUAAGUCCCAUAACGAGCGCAACCCUUACCGUUAGUUGCUAGCAUGUAAUGAUGAGCACUCUAACGGGACUGCCACCGUAAGGUGAGAGGAAGGCGGGGAUGACGUCAAAUCAGCACGGCCCUUACACCCAGGGCUACACACGUGUUACAAUGGCCGGUACAGAGGGCCGCUACCAGGUGACUGGAUGCCAAUCUCAAAAGCCGGUCGUAGUUCGGAUUGGAGUCUGUAACCCGACUCCAUGAAGUUGGAUUCGCUAGUAAUCGCGCAUCAGCCAUGGCGCGGUGAAUACGUUCCCGGGCCUUGUACACACCGCCCGUCAAGCCAUGGAAGCCGGGGGUGCCUGAAGUCCGUAACCGCGAGGAUCGGCCUAGGGCAAAACUGGUAACUGGGGCUAAGUCGUAACAAGGUAGCCGUACCGGAAGGUGCGGCUG
rnacentral:rRNA from 1 species